rnacentral:lncRNA from 1 species
CUUAAGUCAAGAACCAAAUGAAGCACCAGAGUACAGAUUAUGGAGCAGGUUCCUUGUAAAGAUUAACCCAGGGAAGGAUCGAAAGUGGAGAAGACCAGAUCAAGAAAGACUACAUCAAGAUCUGCGGUCAGUUCAAAGGAUGUUUUGCAUUGGACUGUUUUUUUUGGCUUUGACCCUUGCUUGCCCCUGACCUCACUCUUGGACUGCCCUGUUGGAUUUUCAGUUUAUUUAAUUAAAAAAAAAUUUUUUGGUUCUGGGUAGAUGCUAAUAAAUAUUUAAUUGUAAUUAUUU